GACAGAGGAUGCAAGCGUUAUCCGGAAUGAUUGGGCGUAAAGCGUCUGUAGGUGGCUUUUUAAGUCCGCCGUCAAAUCCCAGGGCUCAACCCUGGACAGGCGGUGGAAACUACCAAGCUGGAGUACGGGAGGGGCAGAGGGAAUUUCCGGUGGAGCGGUGAAAUGCGUAGAUAUCGGGAGGAACACCAGUGGCGAAGGCGACUACCUGGCCUGUUUCUUGACGCUGAGGCGCGAAAGCUAGGGGAGCAAACGGG
rnacentral:rRNA from 1 species